GUUAAUCUUACCUGAACGCCGACGAUGUACUUUCGCUUUGACUAAAAUUGAACAAAACUUUGAUGCUGAUAUGGUUUUCAAAUUAGCGAAGCUAUUGGGUCUUGUUGGUGCAGGUGUGGUGAUAGGGAUUUACAUUGACCAAAAUUAUGAUGUACCAAGGGUAAAUAAACAGUCCUGGGAGAGUUUAAUGAAGAAAAUGGAAGAUCUGAAAAAAGACAACAAGACAGACUCAAAGUGACUCCAGCUUUAUUGUACAAUCCCUUCUUUUUACAAAGUUUUGUUAACACUGUGAUAUACCUGGAACCAAUCACAUGUUUUGUGCAUGUAAAUUAAAAAUGUAAAUAAAGACAUUCCCUUUA